rnacentral:rRNA from 1 species
CUGAAUAACUACGCCGAUCGCACGGUCUCGCACCGGCGACGCAUCUUUCAAGUGUCUGCCUUAUCAACUUUCGAUGGUAGUUUAUGUGCCUACCAUGGUUGUAACGGGUAACGGAGAAUAAGGGUUCGACUCCGGAGAGGGAGCCUGAGAAACGGCUACCACAUCCAAGGAAGGCAGCAGGCGCGCAAAUUACCCACUCUCGGCACGAGGAGGUAGUGACGAAAAAUAACGAGACGGAUCUCUUUGAGGCCCGUUAUCGGAAUGAGAACAAUUCAAAUCCUUUAACGAGGAUCUAGCGGAGGGCAAGUCUGGUGCCAGCAGCCGCGGUAAUUCCAGCUCCGCAGGUGUAUAUCUAUGCUGCUGCGGUUAAAAAG